UCUCUAAUUUUUUUUUCUUUGCUCUUCCAUGGAUUUUCUCUCAGUUGUCAAUGCAGCUUUUGAAAAGUGAUGCUAAAAACCAGCCAUCAGUUCUCUUGCUGAGACCUUGCACGUCCUGCAUAGAUGACCUCUGUUACCCUACUCAGAUCCUGCUGCUAAGACAUCCCAGAGUGGUGCUUUAUGUUUUUCCCAGUUACAUCUCACUGAUGACCCACACUCUUCCUUUGGCCUUCUCCACCCUGUGGUACCAGGCUGCAGUGCUGCUGUCUGCCAGAAUUUGUAGGGUGAAGCAAAAGGACUGGGUGAACAUUGGUGACCACAAGCUGGCUACAUCCAGCUUUGCUCUGUAGCUCUGUUGAGGUUUCCACUAGGCAAUGUGUAGCCUGAUAUCAGUGGGCCCGAGUCAUAGCAUUGAAGAAUUGUUUGUGUUGGAAGAACAUUCAAAGGUCAUCUAGUCCAACGUACUUGCAAUAAGCAGGGACAUCUUCAACUAGAUCAGGUCGUCACGGACAAAUCCGACCCUUUCAGUCAAUAAAUCACAGUUAUAUUCCCACUGAAGUAAGAUACAUACUCCAAGUGCAACCAAAUGGUGGAAGAGCUGAGGUCUAAGCUUGCUGUUUGAGAGAGAGAACUUCAUCAGAGAAACAAAGACACUAUGGCACAGACUGACAAAAUAGGACAGUUCACAGAAACACUUGGUAAAGGAAAAAUCACAGAGGACAAUGGAGAAGAGAAUAUACAUAUAUCUAUUAACAUUGUCACAAUUUAACAACUCAUGUCCACAAUUAAGUACCACACAGCUGCUCACUCAUCCACUCCCCUCCUCUCCUGCCUCCUCGUUGUGGAAUGGGGAGGAGAACCAGAGAAAAAGGUAAAACCUGUGGGUUGAGAUAAAAAUAGUCUAAUAAUGUAAAUACAGUAAAAUAUAAUAAUAAUAGGAAAAAGGGAGAGAGGUAUAAAAACCCAAGAAACACAAGUGAUGCCCUUGGAGGA